GACGAACGCUGGCGGCGUGCCUAAUACAUGCAAGUAGAACGCACAGUUUAUACCGUAGCUUGCUACACCAUAGACUGUGAGUUGCGAACGGGUGAGUAACGCGUAGGUAACCUGCCUGGUAGCGGGGGAUAACUAUUGGAAACGAUAGCUAAUACCGCAUAAUAUUGAUUAUUGCAUGAUAAUUGAUUGAAAGAUGCUAUUGCAUCACUACCAGAUGGACCUGCGUUGUAUUAGCUAGUAGGUGAGGUAACGGCUCACCUAGGCGACGAUACAUAGCCGACCUGGGAGGGGGAUCGGCCACACUGGGACUGAGACACGGCCCAGACUCCUACGGGAGGCAGCAGUAGGGAAUCGUCGGCAAUGGACGAAAGUCUGACCGAGCAACGCCGCGUGAGUGAAGAAGGUUUUCGGAUCGUAAAGCUCUGUUGUAAGAGAAGAACGGGUGUGAGAGUGGAAAGUUCACACUGUGACGGUAUCUUACCAGAAAGGGACGGCUAACUACGUG
rnacentral:rRNA from 1 species